rnacentral:rRNA from 1 species
AGUAAAUUGGUUUAGUUAGAAAGGGCGCACGGUGGAUGCCUUGGCGAUAGGAGCCGAAGAAGGAAGGGACUAAACCGGAUAUGCUUUGGGGAGCUGUACGUAAGCGUUGAUCCAGAGAUUUCCGAAUGGUGGAACCGAC